rnacentral:rRNA from 1 species
AUUGAACGCUGGCGGCAGGCCUAACACAUGCAAGUCGAGCGAGCGGCGGACGGGUGAGUAAUGUCUGGGAAACUGCCUGAUGGAGGGGGAUAACUACUGGAAACGGUAGCUAAUACCGCAUACCAUCAGAUGUGCCCAGAUGGGAUUAGCUUGAUGGGGGGGUAAUGGCUCACCUAGGCGACGAUCCCUAGCUGGUCUGAGAGGAGGAGCAGCCACACGGGAACUGAGACACGGUCCAGACGCCUACGGGAGGCAGCAGUGGGGAAUAUUGCACAAUGGGCGCAAGCCUGAUGCAGCCAUGCCGUGUGUGUGAAGAAGGCCUUCGGGUUGUAAAGCACUUUCAGCGAGGAGGCGUUACUCACAGAAGAAGCACCGGCUAACUCCGUGCCAGCAGCCGCGGUAAUUC